rnacentral:rRNA from 1 species
GUCUAUAGCCAUACCACCCUCAAUGUGCCUGACCUUGUCUAAUCUCAGAAGCUAAGCAGAGUCCAGGCCUGGUUAGUAUUUGGAUGGGAAAAUAGUGAAACAUUUUCCUUUGAUGACU